rnacentral:rRNA from 1 species
GAUGAACGCUGGCGGCGUGCCUAAUACAUGCAAGUCGAGCGAACAGACGAGGAGGUUUCUCUUCCUACGUUAGCGGCGGACGGGUGAGUAACACGUGGAUAACCUACCUAUAAGACUGGGAUAACUUCGGGAAACCGGAGCCAAUACCGGAUAAUAUAUUGAACAGCAUGGUUCAAGAGUGAAAGAUGGGCUUGCUGUUACUUAUACAUCGAUCCGCGCCGCAUUAGCUAGUUGGUAAGGUAACGGCUUACCAAGGCAACGAUGCGUAGCCGACCUGAGAGGGUGAUCGGCCACACUGGAACUGAGACACGGUCCAGACUCCUACGGGAGGCAGCAGUAGGGAAUCUUCCGCAAUGGGCGAAAGCCUGACGGAGCAACGCCGCGUGAGUGAUGAAGGUCUUCGGAUCGUAAAACUCUGUUAUUAGGGAAGAACAAAUGUGUAAGUAACUAUGCACGUCUUGACGGUACCUAAUCAGAAAGCCACGGCUAACUACGUG